CACACCCAACACACUGCGCCCUUCACACAUACAAUACGUCCAAACACAUACAUAUAUAAAUAUAUAUAUAUAUAUAUAUAUUUGGACGUAUUGUAUGUGUGAAGGGCGCAGUGUGUUGUGUGUU